UCGGGAAUAUUGCGCAAUGGAGGAAACUCUGACGCAGUGACGCCGCGUAUAGGAAGAAGGUUUUCGGAUUGUAAACUAUUGUCGUUAGGGAAGAGAAAGGACAGUACCUAAGGAGGAAGCUCCGGCUAACUACGUGCCAGCAGCCGCGGUAAUACGUAGGGAGCGAGCGUUAUCCGGAUUUAUUGGGUGUAAAGGGUGCGUAGACGGGUAAUCAAGUUAGUUGUGAAAUCCCUUGGCUUAACUGAGGAACUGCAACUAAAACUGAUUGUCUUGAGUGCAGGAGAGGUAAGUGGAAUUCCUAGUGUAGCGGUGAAAUGCGUAGAUAUUAGGAGGAACACCAGUGGCGAAGGCGACUUACUGGACUGUAACUGACGUUGAGGCACGAAAGUGUGGGGAGCAAACAGGAUUAGAUACC
rnacentral:rRNA from 1 species